rnacentral:rRNA from 1 species
GAUGAACGCUGGCGGCGUGCCAAUACAUGCAAGUCGAGCGAAUGGAUUAAGAGCUUGCUCUUAUGAAGUUAGCGGCGGACGGGUGAGUAACACGUGGGUAACCUGCCCAUAAGACUGGGAUAACUCCGGGAAACCGGGGCUAAUACCGGAUAACAUUUGAACCGCAUGGUUCGAAAUUGAAAGGCGGCUUCGGCUGUCACUUAUGGAUGGACCCGCGUCGCAUUAGCUAGUUGGUGAGGUAACGGCUCACCAAGGCAACGAUGCGUAGCCGACCUGAGAGGGUGAUCGGCCACACUGGGACUGAGACACGGCCCAGACUCCUACGGGAGGCAGCAGUAGGGAAUCUUCCGCAAUGGACGAAAGUCUGACGGAGCAACGCCGCGUGAGUGAUGAAGGCUUUCGGGUCGUAAAACUCUGUUGUUAGGGAAGAACAAGUGCCAGUUGAAUAAGCUGGCACCUUGACGGUACCUAACCAGAAAGCCACGGCUAACUACGUGCCAGCCGCCGCCGUAA